CCAUUGCUGAGCAUGUGGGACGUACAGGAGCAGGGCUUGGGAUGAGGGUGCUAAAAUUAACUCCCGUGUUCUUCCCUAAAAUGGCUUUAUUUACUUCUGCAGGAGGAGAAAGUGAGGAACUCACCAGCCCUUGUUUACCGUCUGGUUUCAAAUCUGGGUGGCAGCAUGCUGAGAUAGUGUACGAAAUCAAAGGACAGCAGGCAGGAGGCUCUGCAGCUCCUGCCUCUCUAACUGCGGUGUGUCUGUCCAGUAACACAGACAGAGCUGAGCGCUCCCUGAGCCUCUUUCAGUACCCUUCCGCCUCAAAUGGUGUUGUUCAUCGUGGGCUGUCACACAUGUAAUCUCAGCCUGAGGACAGUCUGAGUUAACGCUGGAGGAAGAGGGAAGUGUGUUAUUUCAGUUCUCUGUGAAGAGCCUGUAAGAAUUCGUGAAGUGCUGUUGUGCAGGAGGAGGCUGUCUCCUUGCAGCUCCUACACAGAUUGCAUUUGUUUAACCUAUCUAUGAUACACCAUGUGUCUCUGCAUUGUUUUAGCCUCUGUGUCACUCUUGCUCUGACAAAGCAGCAAAGAUGCUCCACCAGAGAGCGCAUAAAGGUAGUGGAAGAAGUGGCAGCCAUGAUACACAUACAUCGUGAUGCUGUGCUAAGCUGCCACGAGUACUGCGGUAUGAUGAUCUCAAGCAGAUAUUGAUGGCUGUUGCAUUUCUCUAUAGAAGGGACUGGGGAUGUGAGAUAGGACCUCCAGCUGGUACGGGCAAACUUACCCUCUCCUCAGCCACUAAGGAUGUGGUGCAGGACCAUGUCUGAGACCUUGCACAAGUCCUGAACUGCAUUUUGAGUGAUCUCUCCUGAGAAAGACUUUGCUUUGUGAGUUUGAGUUGGUGCCUCGGCACGGUGGUGGAAUUGCUGGAUCAAAUGAGAGAGGCCCGUGAGUUUGGCACAGAGCUCGUGAUGCAUUUGGCAGCGCUGGUGUUGGGUCAGGGGGCAGGGCUAAACGCCAUUGCACGGGGUCUCACUGCAGGCGGAUCUCACUCUGCCCAACCAACGUACCGCCGCCGCACCGAGCUGCAGCCGGCUAACUGCAAUGCACCACUCCGGCACCCGGCCCCGCACACCGUCCCGCGUCCC
ensembl:lncRNA